UACAGGGGGGGCAAGCGUUGUUCGGAAUUACUGGGCGUAAAGGGCUCGUAGGUGGCCAACUAAGUCAGACGUGAAAUCCCUCAGCUUAACUGGGGAACUGCGUCUGAUACUGGAUGGCUUGAGUUUGGGAGAGGGACGCGGAAUUCCAGGUGUAGCGGUGAAAUGCGUAGAUAUCUGGAGGAACACCGGUGGCGAAGGCGGCGUCCUGGACCAACACUGACACUGAGGAGCGAAAGCCAGGGGAGCAAACGGG
rnacentral:rRNA from 1 species